rnacentral:misc_RNA from 1 species
UCUCCGUAGGUGAACCUGCGGAGGGAUCAUUACAGAGUUCAUGCCCUACCGGGUAGAUCUCCCACCCUAUGUUAUUAUUACUUUGUUGCUUUGGCGGGCCGUUAGGCUCCGGCCCGACUACCGGCCCCGGCUGGUAAGCGCCCGCCAGAGGACCCAAAACCCUGAAUAUUAGUGUCGUCUGAAUACUAUAUAAUAGUUAAAACUUUCAACAACGGAUCUCUUGGUUCUG